rnacentral:rRNA from 1 species
AACGAACGCUGGCGGCGUGCCUAAUACAAGCAAGUCGAGCGAAUUUUUGGGAGCUUGCUCCCAAAGGUUAGCGGCGGACGGGUGAGUAACACGUGGGCAACCUGCCUAUAAGACUGGGAUAACUUCGGGAAACCGGAGCUAAUACCGGAUAAUUCAUAUCUACUCAUGUAGGUAUGCUGAAAGACGGUUUACGCUGUCACUUAUAGAUGGGCCCGCGGCGCAUUAGCUAGUUGGUGAGGUAACGGCUUACCAAGGCAACGAUGCGUAGGCGACCUGAGAGGGUGAUCGGCCACACUGGGACGGAGACACGGCCCAGACUCCUACGGGAGGCAGCAGUAGGGAAUCUUCCGCAAUGGACGAAAGUCUGACGGAGCAACGCCGCGUGAGUGAUGAAGGUUUUCGGAUCGUAAAACUCUGUUGUUAGGGAAGAACAAGUACUAGAGUAACUGCUAGUACCUUGACGGUACCUAACCAGAAAGCCACGGCUAACUACGUGCCAGCCGCCGCAGUAA